rnacentral:misc_RNA from 1 species
CAACAAGCGAAUCCUCAGAACUUCUGCUUAACAGGACAGCUCAAUUCAAGGGCUUCUUCAAAGCAAAAUCAGAUUAUGUUAAGGAACCCAUUUCAGAAACCGGAUUGGAAGGGCUAUACAAAAAGCUUCUUGAAGCAGAGACAUCAGAACUGAUCUUGACACCUUAUGGAGGAAAGAUGAGCGAGAUUCAGGACUCAGAAACACCAUUCCCUCACAGAAGAGGAAAUAUAUACAAAAUCCAAUACAUGGUAACUUGGGAUAAGGAAGAGGAAACGGAGCAGCACCUGCAG